rnacentral:lncRNA from 1 species
CGAGAUCGGUUCGUUCGUCCGGCGGGUUGGAUGAACCUACCUCGCCCCGGGGGAGGAUUCUUUUUUCUUUUUGAUUGAUGACGAGGGGGCACUGGACUCGUGGGAUCCGGGGGGUUCCGCCGCGCACGCCCGUCAGAAUUAUCUCUUGCCAUUGCUAUCCUGCAACUUCUCUUCUCCUUCCGUCGACAAUUCCUUCCUUCCUUCCGUUUAGUUGAGGUUGUUGAUUUCAGCUUCGGAGUCCAACUGAAUUCUUUUCUUCCAUUUCUUAUUGCGAAAAGGGGAUCCUUUUCACUCCUGUUUCUGGAUCACAAUUCAUCUCAAUUAUCAACACAAGGUUCUCUGUUGGAUUUCCCUAGUGGGUGCUUUCCUGAAAUCUUCUUCUGCGGUCGGGCUUGGGCACCGUCUUUUCUUGCCUUGUCCCUCUAUAAAGGAAAUGAUAUUCUUUUCUAACUUUUCCAUUCCAUGCUAGUAGUUGAAUACUCAUUGCUUCGUAAAGGAUUGUUGAGGCCUUUCCAACUCCUGUAAUCAACACCAGGGGAAAGAAAAAAAAAGAGGGUGAUUCAGAUGCAACCUAAGAGGUGCCACAAACGCAAAUGCGGUAUUAGAUUCGCUGAGUAGAUAUGUUUAUCUCAACUCAACCCAAUUCUGUGGUCAUCUUACCGUCCUUUUUCUUGCAAAAAGUUAUAGCCAAUCAUCUUAAUUGUCUCAGUGGAUUAGGUUAGGUUGUCAAUAUAUUCUAUGCCCACUUGGGAGGCAUAUU